rnacentral:rRNA from 1 species
UUGAACGCUGGCGGCAUGCCUUACACAUGCAAGUCGAACGGUAGAGGGGCAACCCUUGAGAGUGGCGAACGGGUGAGUAAUAUAUCGGAACGUGCCCAGUCGUGGGGGAUAACGCAGCGAAAGCUGCGCUAAUACCGCAUACGAUCUAUGGAUGAAAGCGGGGGAUCGCAAGACCUCGCGCGAUUGGAGCGGCCGAUAUCAGAUUAGGUGGUUGGUGGGGUAAAAGC